rnacentral:rRNA from 1 species
AUUGAACGCUGGCGGCAGGCCUAACACAUGCAAGUCGAGCGAGCGGCGGACGGGUGAGUAAUGUCUGGGAAACUGCCCGAUGGAGGGGGAUAACUACUGGAAACGGUAGCUAAUACCCCACACCAUCAGAUGUGCCCAGAUGGGAGUAGCUCGUAGGUGGGGUAAGGGCUCACCUAGCCGACGAUCCCUAGCUGGUCUGAGAGGAGGACCAGCCACACGGGAACGGAGAUACGGUCCAGACUCCUACGGGAGGCAGCAGUGGGGAAUAUUGCCAAAGGGGCGCAAGCCUGAUGCAGCCAUGCCGCGUGUGUGAAGAAGGCCUUCGGGUUGUAAAGCACUUUCAGCGGGGAGGCGUUACCCGCAGAAGAAGCACCGGCUAACUCCGUGCCAGCAGCCGCGGUAAUUC